GAACUAAUAGCUCAGUUGCUAGAGCAUGAGACUCUUCAUCUCAAGGUAGUGGGUUCGAGCCCCACGUUGGGCCA